rnacentral:rRNA from 1 species
UACGUAGGUGGCAAGCGUUGUCCGGAAUUAUUGGGCGUAAAGCGCGCGCAGGCGGAUCAGCAAGUCAGAUGUGAAAUCAUCGGGGCUCAACCUCGAAACUGCGAUCUGAAACUGCUAGUCUAGAAUGAUCGGAGGGGGCAGGGGAAUUUCAACGUGUAGGGGUAAAAUCCGUAGAGAUGUGAAGGAACACCGGAAGGCGGAAGGCGCCUGCCUGGA